CCUACGGGAGGCAGCAGUGGGGAAUAUUGGGCAAUGGAGGAAACUCUGACCCAGCAACGCCGCGUGAAUGAUGAAGGUCUUCGGAUUGUAAAGUUCUUUUCUAAGGGAAGAAGAAAGUGACGGUACUUUAGGAAUAAGCCUCGGCGAACUACGUGCCAGCAGCCGCGGUAAUACGUAGGAGGCAAGCGUUAUCCGGAAUGACUGGGCGUAAAGGGUGCGUAGGUGGUUUGACAAGUUGGUAGCGUAACUCCGGGGCGAAACCUCGGCACUACUACCAAAACUGUCGGACUAGAGUGCAGGAGGGGCAAAUGGAAUUCCUAGUGUAGCGGUGGAAUGCGUAGAUAUUAGGAGGAACACCAGUGGCGAAGGCGAUUUGCUGGACUGUAACUGACACUGAGGCACGAAAGCGUGGGGAGCAAACAGGAUUAGAUACCCCAGUAGUC
rnacentral:rRNA from 1 species